rnacentral:rRNA from 1 species
GACGAACGCUGGCGGCGUGCUUAACACAUGCAAGUCGAGCGGUAAGGCCCUUUCGGGGGUACGACGAGCGGCGAACGGGUGAGUAACACGUGGGUGACCUGCCCUCCAGCUCUGGGAGUAAGCCUGGGAAACCGGGUCUAAUACCGGAUAUGACUCCAUGACGCAUGUUGGUGGGGUGGAAAGCCUUGUGCGGCUGAGGA